GAGAAUGGUCUAAUACACUAUUACUUCAAAUGUUUAUUAUUUUUUGUGGAGAGAACAUUUGAAACUUAGCAAUUUUGAAGUACAAAAUACAUAAUUAUUUAUAGUAUCAAUACUGUGCAGAUCUCAAAAAAUAUAUUAUUUCUCUCUAACUAAAACUUUGUACCAUCUGACCAAUAUCUUCUCAUUUUCCGCACUGACCAGCCUCUGGCAACCACCAUUCCACUCUCUACUGCUACGAGCUCGAUGGUUUUCACUUAGUGUAAUGUUCUCCAGAUUUACCCAUAUUGUCAUAAAUGACAGAAUUUCCUGUUUUUUCAAGACUGCAUAGUAUUCUAUUGUUACAUAU
rnacentral:lncRNA from 1 species